GCCGAGAAUGGGAGUGGAGCGGAGUGUCUGAGCAGCACACCCAUCUCCUCUCCGCUCUUCGCCUCGCUCUCGCCUGUUCACUCAUCCAUCAUCCGGCCGGCCAGUGCUCUGAACACCUUCCACCAUGGCCACCUCAGCUAGUUCCCACUUGAACAAAGGCAUCAAGCAAAUGUACAUGUCCCUGCCCCAGGGUGAGAAGGUCCAGGCCAUGUAUAUUUGGGUUGAUGGUACCGGAGAAGGACUAUGCUGUAAGACCCGUACCCUGGACUGUGAGCCCAAGUGUGUAGAAGAGUUACCUGAGUGGAACUUUGACGGCUCUAGUACCUUUCAGUCGGAAGGCUCCAACAGCGACAUGUAUCUCCAUCCUGUCGCCAUGUUUCGAGACCCCUUCCGCAAAGACCCCAACAAGUUGGUGCUCUGUGAAGUUUUCAAGUAUACCCGGAAGCCUGCAGAGACCAAUUUGAGGCACACCUGUAAACGGAUAAUGGACAUGGUGAGCAACCAGCACCCCUGGUUUGGCAUGGAACAGGAAUAUACUCUCGUGGGAACAGACGGCCAUCCGUUUGGUUGGCCUUCCAAUGGCUUCCCUGGACCACAAGGUCCGUAUUACUGCGGGGAGGGUGCAGACAAAGCCUAUGGCAGGGAUAUCGUGGAGGCCCACUACCGGGCCUGUUUGUAUGCUGGAGUCAAGAUCACAGGGACAAAUGCUGAGGUUAUGCCUGCCCAGUGGGAAUUCCAGAUAGGACCCUGUGAAGGGAUCCGCAUGGGAGAUCAUCUUUGGAUAGCCCUUUUCAAUGAAACUGGUACAAAUGUGUCUGCUGAAACUACUGUCUACACCCAAAGGGUCAACUGUCAAGAAGAAAAAGAAAAAGAAAAAUUCCACAUUGGCCAAAACUGUCAAGGGCUCAAGCUAGGAGAAAUGGAAAGAAAACCACCAGGCCACGAGACAUUUCCCAAGAUACUAAGUUCAAACAUCAACCAAUAG